AAGACUAUAGACCUGCGGAGUACCUGCGGAGGGAUCAUUACAGGACUCGCAAGACUCCUACAACCCUGUGAACCUACUAUACGAACGUUGCUUCGGCGGGUGCGCCCCGGGGAUUCGUUCCCGCGGCGCGUCAGCCCGCCGGCAGCCUACAAAUUCUGUUUCUUUGCGUUGGCAUCUCGAGAAAAACAAAUAAGUUAAAACUUUUAGCAACGGAUCUCU
rnacentral:misc_RNA from 1 species